UACGGGGGGGGCAAGCGUUGUUCGGAAUUACUGGGCGUAAAGGGCCUCGUAGGCGGCCAACUAAGUCAAACGUGAAAUCCCUCGGCUUAACCGGGGAACUGCGCUUGAUACUGGAUGGCUUGAGAUUGGGAGAGGGAUGCGGAAUUCCAGGUGUAGCGGUGAAAUGCGUAGAUAUCGCUUGGAACGCCAACGGUGAAAACAGCUCGCUGGGGAUGCGCUGACGCUGAGGACACGAAAAGCCAGGGGAGCAAACGGG
rnacentral:rRNA from 1 species